CCGGGCUGAGCGGAUCCUCCUGGGGGUUUGGUUUGGAGGAGGGGGGAGGUGGUCUUGGCCAUCUCCCCCAGGAGUGGGCGCUUGCUGGCCAUGGGGAGCGACCCAUCGCCGUGGGGCGCUGACAGGAGCUGCGUGGCUCUCAAUCCAGGCCUUGGUGUCCUGGGAAGGGCCGAUGGAGGAGGGACGGAAGGCUGACGGGGGUGGGCUCUGCACCAACUCAGCACCCUGCCCUCUCUGCCCUGCCCAGGCUGGAUCUCUGCAGGAUCAGGCCCUGUGCUGCGGGUUGCUCCCCUGGAAGGCUGGCAGGGGACUCCAGGGCAGGGCACACAGGGACGUGCAGGAGCAGGAUAGGUCAGAGCCUGCCACGUGCGUGGAGCUGCUGCUGUCCCAGGGCUUGCAUCUCACCCCCUCGACCCCAGCCCUUUAGUUUGUAUUUUUAUAAAUAUAUAUAGAAAUAUAUAUGAUGCAAAGUGCAAUAGAGACGAGACCCCGCGUUGGCCGGGAUGUCCUCGUGUCUCCACGUCCCCUGAGACUGUAACAUACCUUGUUCUCUUGGCUGUCCUGGUGCUGCAGGACAGGGUGCUGGGUUGUUUACAUUUUUUUUAUUAUUGUUUUGCUGUUUACCAUUUCCUGCUGGGGGCUGAGGAGGGACCGCAUCGUGCUGCCCUCAGAGCAGCUGCCGGACUGUGCCAAACGUUUGGAGCUGUCGAUGUUUGCUGUGCGUUGGCUCAGAGGGCGGUUUGAGCCCGAGAAGCCGCUGUGGGACGUCGUGGCCUCUGUCUCUGCUCCCGGGUCAGCAGAAGCUUUCGGGAUCUGCUUUGCUUCCCUGGCCACGAAGCAAAGAAAGGAGAUCCGGCCGGCUCCAUGCGCUCUGUGCUGCUUCUGCUUCCCCCGUCCAAGGGAGCGGCGGCGCCCCGUUCCCAGCCACCCGCCGGCCCGGGCCCUGCCUGCGCCGUUCCUCCGAGACCAGCGCUGCGUGGGACGGCUGGGUUCGGUUUCCCACCCUGAGGAGCUGCUCCACGUGUGGAACUGCGCCUGGAGUUCGUGAGCAGCCCGAGGACGGACGUUGCCUGUGCGAGGACGGGCGAAGGGUGCCGCUGGGGCGAGGGCCGCCCGCUCAGCACCUCCUGAGCCCCUCGCCGCCUUUCUCCCGCACCCCCCCAAGUUCCCCGGGCUGUGCGAGCUGCUCGCUGCUCAUCGCUCGCCCUCUUUGCCCGCUCCGCAGCUGCCGGAGCUGUGGGUACGCGCCGGGCCGGCACCGUGCGGAGCGCCAAAAUCUGUGUCGGGAGCGUUAUGUAAAGUUACCUUGAAUAUGCAACAUCUCCACAAAUAUAUCUAUAUCUGUACGGUGCGGUCUGUCGGCACCGAGCGGGAUAGGGUGCCCCCGGGCUCCGUUCUGCGGUACCGCUUCGUCGCACGGGGCGCUGGGCGAUGCUUCCCCCGUGCGUUAAUUAACGGCUCUCCUUCCCGGUGUCCGCACGCGGCCCC
rnacentral:lncRNA from 1 species